CAAGUAGUCAUAUGCUUGUCUCAAAGAUUAAGCCAUGCAUGUCUAAGUAUAAAUCGUUUAUCCAGGUGAAACUGCGAAUGGCUCAUUAAAUCGGUUAUAGUUUAUUUGAUAGUACAUUACUUCUUGGAUAACCGUGGUAACUCUAGAGCUAAUUCAUGCUAAGAAUUCUGACUUCUGGAAGAGAUGUAUUUAUUAGAUAAAUAACCAAUAGCUUCGCAAGGGGUUUUCCAUUGGUGAAUCGUAAUAACUUACGGUCUCGUUUCGGAUCGCACCCGCGACGUAUCAUUCAAAUUUCUUCCCUUUCAACUUUCGAUGUUAGGAUAGAGGCCUACAAUGGUUUUAACGGUUAACGGGGAAUUAGUGUUCGAUCCCGGGGAGGGAGCCUGAGAAACGUCUACCACAUCCCAGGAAGGCAGCAGGCCCGCAAAUUACCCCAUCCCAAUACGGGGAGGUAGUGACAAUAAAUUACAAUAUUGGGCUCCUACGGGUCUCUUAAUUGGAAUGAGUACAAUUUAAUUCUCUUAAGGAGGAACAAUUGGAGUGCAAGUCUGUUGCCAGCAGCCGCGGUAAUUCCA
rnacentral:rRNA from 1 species